CAACCGGCUUUUUUCAAAGCCACCCACAAAACAAAAGAGCUCAA
rfam:Amphimedon queenslandica AMPQTscaffold_13116_Cont7255, whole genome shotgun sequence.